rnacentral:rRNA from 1 species
UAGGGAAUCUUCCGCAAUGGGCGAAAGCCUGACGGAGCAACGCCGCGUGAGUGAUGAAGGUCUUCGGAUCGUAAAACUCUGUUAUUAGGGAAGAACAUAUGUGUAAGUAACUGUGCACAUCUUGACGGUACCUAAUCAGAAAGCCACGGCUAACUACGUGCCAGCAGCCGCGGUAAUACGUAGGUGGCAAGCGUUAUCCGGAAUUAUUGGGCGUAAAGCGCGCGUAGGCGGUUUUUUAAGUCUGAUGUGAAAGCCCACGGNUCAACCGUGNAGGGUCAUUGGAAACUGAAAAACUUGAGUGCAGAAGAGGAAAGUGGAAUUCCAUGUGUAGCGGUGAAAUGCGCAGAGAUAUGGAGGAACACCAGUGGCGAAGGNGACUUUCUGGUCUGUAACUGACGCUGAUGUGCGAAAGNNUGGGGAUCAAACAGGAUUAGAUACCCUGGUAGUCCACGCCGUAAACGAUGAGUGCUAAGUGUUAGGGGGUUUCCGCCCCUUAGUGCUGCAGCUAACGCAUUAAGCACUCCGCCUGGGAGUACGACCGCAAGUUG